UAACACGUGGAUAACCUGCCUCACACUGGGGGACAACAGUUAGAAAUGACUGCUAAUACCGCAUAAGCGCACAGUACCGCAUGGUACGGUGUGAAAAACUCCGGUGGUGUGAGAUGGAUCCGCGUCUGAUUAGCCAGUUGGCGGGGUAACGGCCCACCAAAGCGACGAUCAGUAGCCGACCUGAGAGGGUGACCGGCCACAUUGGGACUGAGACACGGCCCAAACUCCUACGGGAGGCAGCAGUGGGGAAUAUUGCACAAUGGAGGAAACUCUGAUGCAGCGACGCCGCGUGAGUGAAGAAGUAAUUCGUUAUGUAAAGCUCUAUCAGCAGGGAAGAUAGUGACGGUACCUGACUAAGAAGCUCCGGCUAAAUACGUGCCAGCAGCCGCGGUAAUACGUAUGGAGCAAGCGUUAUCCGGAUUUACUGGGUGUAAAGGGAGUGUAGGUGGCCAUGCAAGUCAGAAGUGAAAAUCCGGGGCUCAACCCCGGAACUGCUUUUGAAACUGUAAGGCUAGAGUGCAGGAGGGGUGAGUGGAAUUCCUAGUGUAGCGGUGAAAUGCGUAGAUAUUAGGAGGAACACCAGUGGCGAAGGCGGCUCACUGGACUGUAACUGACACUGAGGCUCGAAAGCGUGGGGAGCAAACAGGAUUAGAUACCCUGGUAGUCCACGCUGUAAACGAUGAAUACUAGGUGU
rnacentral:rRNA from 1 species